rnacentral:rRNA from 1 species
GAUUAGAUACCCCUGUAGUCCUGGCCGUAAACGAUGAACACUAGGUGUCGGGGGAAUCGACCCCCUCGGUGUCGUAGCCAACGCGUUAAGUGUUCCGCCUGGGGAGUACGCACGCAAGUGUGAAACUCAAAGGAAUUGACGGGGGCCCGCACAAGCGGUGGAGUAUGUGGUUUAAUUCGAUGCAACGCGAAGAACCUUACCAGGGUUUGACAUCCUGCGAAUCCCUUGGAAACUUGGGAGUGCCUUCGGGAGCGCAGUGACAGGUGGUGCAUGGCUGUCGUCAGCUCGUGUCGUGAGAUGUUGGGUUAAGUCCCGCAACGAGCGCAACCCACGUCUUUAGUUGCCAGCAUUCAGUUGGGCACUCUAGAGAGACCGCCGGUGAUAAACCGGAGGAAGGUGUGGAUGACGUCAAGUCAUCAUGCCCCUUACAUCCUGGGCUACACACGUACUACAAUGCUACGGACAAAGGGCAGCAAACUCGCGAGAGCUAGCAAAUCCCAUAAACCGUGGCUCAGUUCAGAUCGUAGGCUGCAACUCGCCUACGUGAAGGAGGAAUCGCUAGUAAUCGCAGGUCAGCAUACUGCGGUGAAUACGUUCCCGGGCCUUGUACACACCGCCCGUCACACCAUGGAAGUUGGCCAUGCCCGAAGUCGUUACUCCAACCCGUAAGGGAGGAGGACGCCGAAGGUGGGGCUGAUGACUGGGGUG